rnacentral:rRNA from 1 species
GAUGAACGCUAGCGGCAGGCUUAACACAUGCAAGUCGAGGGGCAUCGAGAGUAGCAAUACUUGUCGGCGACCGGCGCAAGGGUGCGUAACACGUGAGCAACAUACCCGUUUCAGGAGGAUAACCGGAGGAAACUCUGCCUAAUACUCCAUGACAUCAUCAAACGGCAUCGUUUGAUGAUUAAAGAUUUAUCGGAAACGGCUUGGCUCGCGGGACAUUAGCUCGUUGGUGAGGUAACGGCUCACCAAGGCGACGAUGUCUAGGGGUUCUGAGAGGAAGGUCCCCCAACUGGAACUGAGACACGGUCCAGACUCCUACGGGAGGCAGCAGUGAGGAAUAUUGGACAAUGGUCGGAAGACUGAUCCAGCCAUGCCGCGUGAAGGUUACUGUCCUAUGGAUAUUAAACUUCUUUUGUAUUGAGAGCAAUAAGGUGCACGUGUGCACCGAUGAGAGUAUCAUACGAAUAAGCAUCGGCUAAC